GACGAACGCUGGCGGCGUGCCUAAUACAUGCAAGUCGAGCGAAGUUUUUCUGGUGCUUGCACUAGAAAAACUUAGCGGCGAACGGGUGAGUAACACGUAAAGAACCUGCCUCAUAGACUGGGACAACUAUUGGAAACGAUAGCUAAUACCGGAUAACAGCAUUAACUGCAUGGUUGAUGUUUGAAAGUUGGUUUUGCUAACACUAUGAGAUGGCUUUGCGGUGCAUUAGCUAGUUGGUGGGGUAAAGGCCUACCAAGGCGACGAUGCAUAGCCGACCUGAGAGGGUGAUCGGCCACACUGGGACUGAGACACGGCCCAGACUCCUACGGGAGGCAGCAGUAGGGAAUCUUCCGCAAUGGGCGAAAGCCUGACGGAGCAACGCCGCGUGAGUGAAGAAGGAUUUCGAUUCGUAAAGCUCUGUUGUUAGGGAAGAAUGAUUAUGUAGUAACUAUACAUAGUAGAGACGGUAC
rnacentral:rRNA from 1 species